rnacentral:lncRNA from 1 species
CAUUGAGGCUGGCAGUGGACACGCAAUUCGGGUUGACACCCCCGGGACAAGACCGUAUAUUCCUGCGCAAAAACAAAUCCACAGAUGAAACAGCAGAAGUUAUCAGCUGUUGGGCAGGAGUGUUGAUCGCAACUCUUGCGGCCAGUGAGGCCAAGCAAACCACCCACAGGCUGCACAAAAUGUCUGUAAGGGACAACCCAGCUUACCCAUUCCGCAGACCAUACUCGAUCGUGGCUGCAUCUUGGUAUGGAGUUGUCGAUGCCACAGCUAAUCCACUAUUGCAGAAGCUCAACACUGUUCCUGCUGUGAGUGCCCAUCGCCUCGAUUUUGACGAGAAAUUGGGCGAUGCUUCUGAGUUUCUGUUAUUUGGGGAAUUGUAUUCCGUGUUAGUGCUGCUGCAAGACACCAACAGCCGAUGCGCCGUGUGAUGAGUGAUCCCAAGUGACAUUCGAGCCUGAAAUGUACCAGAAGCUAUCUGUUUGACAUGUUCACCAGCAUUAAAAAUCAAACAACAUUGCUAAACUAUUUAA